rnacentral:rRNA from 1 species
UACGAAGGGGGCUAGCGUUGUUCGGAAUUACUGGGCGUAAAGCGCGCGCAGGCGGUCCUUUAAGUCGGGGGUGAAAGCCCAGAGCUCAACUCUGGAACUGCCUUCGAAACUAGAGGACUUGGGUACGGGAGAGGUGAGUGGAAUUCCGAGUGUAGAGGUGAAAUUCGUAGAUAUUCGGAAGAACACCAGUGGCGAAGGCGGCUCACUGGCCCGUUACCGACGCCCAGGCGCGACAGCGUGGGGAGCAAACAGG